CGCCUCUUGCAAUCCAAGUAUAAGAGGUCCCGCCUGCCCUGUGACCUUGUGUUUAACGGCCGCGGUAUUCUGACCGUGCGAAGGUAGCGCAAUCACUUGUCUUUUAAAUGAAGACCUGUAUGAAUGGCACGACGAGGGCUUAGCUGUCUCCUUCUCCCAGUCAAUGAAAUUGAUCUCCCCGUGCAGAAGCGGGGAUUAACCCAUAAGACGAGAAGACCCUAUGGAGCUUUAGACAAAAGGCAGACCACGUUUAACCCACCUCUUCUAUAGGACUAAACACAGUGCCCCCUGACCUUAAUGUCUUUGGUUGGGGCGACCGCGGAGGAAAACCAAGCCUCCAUGUGGACCGGGAGAACCCACUCCUAAAGUCAAGAGCCACAGCUCUAAGCAACAGAACUUCUGACCAAAAAUGAUCCGGUAACACCGAUCAACGAACCAAGUUACCCUAGGGAUAACAGCGCAAUCCCCUCCCAGAGUCCCUAUCGACAAGGGGGUUUACGACCUCGAUGUUGGAUCAGGACAUCCUAAUGGUGCAACCGCUAUUAAGGGUUCGUUUGUUCAACGAUUAAAGUCCU
rnacentral:rRNA from 1 species